GAAAUAUAUACAAACAAUAUAUGAUACCCUGGCUGGAUAACAUCCAUAAUAAUGAUCCUCAAGAUCAGGAGACCUAAUUACCACCUGCAUGAAAACAUGAUUCCCAAAACUCAGCCCAGGCCAGAGUCUGUUCUGCAGAUACCUUUCAACACUCUCACAUGCUCAGACCCAACUAGACUAACAGGUUUUUCCUUCUAUCCUAAAUACAAGGAGAGGUACCUAGUUUUAUUGCAACUCCAUAUACAUGCUUGGUUGAUAUCCUGGGGAGACCAUCUGUUGUUUUCUUAAAGGAAAUAUCAUAGAAGUGAAGAGCAAGUGGGCAGGAAAUGUUUUGCCUGCCAAGGACAAGGACUCCAUGAUAACUAAAAACCGCAGUAUUCAGGGAAGCAAGAAUGUGUCCACAUUCUUCAACAAAAUGAGCAGUCCAGCAGCCAAGUCUCGUAAAGUCCUGAUUGCAAACACAAAUCAACAACAGUAGCACUCCCUAGCAGAGACAGGUUGCAGCUUCAGUCCAAGUUAGAAGGUAUAACCCCGCCCAGAAUUCUAAGAGUACUUCUGGCUUUGCCUCGCUCAGUGAAGUGAAGAUUAAUGAAGACAUGAGACCAACAAGCAUUUAGUUAUCCAAGCAAGCCCACAUCAGCUUCCUCCUCUGUCUGUUGAGCUCUAUUUAUAUCCAUCCAAACAUCACAUGUCCUCCAUGGGUCCUGCCUCACCAUGUGUCUUACCUCAACAUGCGAGUCUGACUUAGCAAAAUUUCAUGUGACUCUCACUCUGGCAAUCAGUGAAAGUCUUCAGAAGCAGCGAAAAUACACCACAGCACACAAACAGAAGUUUCUUGAUGCAUUUCUCUCCACGGAGUCCCAGUAAAUGGAGCCAAACUAAGGAAGAUAAGGUGCAUCAAUAAAUGAUAAUGGAAAUCCGGAGGUCAUUAAAAAGUAUACAUCA